CAGCCGCCGCGGGAAUACGAAGGGGGCUAGCGUUGUACGGAUUUACUGGGCGUAAAGGGCGCGUAGGCGGACUGAUAAGUCAGGGGUGAAAUCCCAAGGCUCAACCUUGGAACUACCUUUGAUACUGUUUGUCUUGAGUUCGAGAGAGGUAAGUGGAACUGCGAGUGUAGAGGUGAAAUUCGUAGAUAUUCGCAAGAACACCAGUGGCGAAGGCGGCUUACUGGCUCGAAACUGACGCUGAGGCGCGAAAGCGUGGGGAGCAAACAGGAUUAGAUACCCCUGUAGUCCCUGUCUCUUAUAC
rnacentral:rRNA from 1 species